CCCGCCGCUCCUUCCCCCUCCCCCGACGUAAACUGGGAUCCCUUUCCCCUUGUGUCCGCCAUAUUGGACUCUAACUCUGGUCAGCGGCGGCGCCGGGACUGUGGACUCGCGGUUCCUCCCGCCCAGCGGCCUGUCCCGCAGAUCCCGCCCGCCGCAGCCCUCCCCACCCCGGAGGCGACUCCGUGCAGCGUCCCCCGGCUGGCCGGAGCGCCCGCCGCCGCCUCAGCCUCCCCGCCUUCCCCGCCCUCCGCCGCCGCCCGUAGCCCCCGCGCCCACUCCGCGCCCCUCUCCCCGCCCGCCAUGAGCCCAGCCGACGCCAAACGCGGGGCCAAGCGCCGGAAGAACAAGCGGGGCGGCGGCGGCGGCUCGGGCGGGGGUAACGGCGGCGCGAGCAGCGGCAAGGCCGGCCCGGCGGCGGCGCUGCGCGGCUCCCAGGCCGCGGGCCUGGCGGCCCCGGGCGGCACGGCGGGCCUGGUGGGCGGCGCGGCGGUGGCCAACGGGCCCCUCGGCGCUGGCGCGGGCGCUGGCGGCGCCGCCCCCGGAGGCUACUUCGAGACUCCUUUUAGUUUUGGCAUGAAUCAUAGGACACCACCCUACCCCGCUGGGGAUUAUUGUCUUCUGUGCAGAAGUGAACGUAAAGACUCCUCAUUCUUAGAGAGCGGAAUUAAGACUGCGAGCAAAUUGGCCCUUUCCAUGGCUCCCAAGGGCAACAGCGUGCUGCACCUGCCACUAUGGGUGUGCCCGGACUGCCGCAGGACUGUGGAGAAGGAGGAGAGGCAUGGCGGCCUUGACCAGCCGGUGAGAUGGAUCUCUACUAAAUUGUCCAGGCUGGUCUUGAACUCCUGUGCUGAAGCGAUCCUGACACCUCAGCCUCUCCAGGUGCUUGCAUUACAGAGCCAAGAUUUUCUUCUUCACUCCUCGCUUGGCGGCUCCCAGCCGGAGGCCAGCAGUGGUGCGAGGCUCACUCUGGGCGCACAGACACUACCUUCGGACACCGCUUGCUCAUGCGAGGCCUGCAGUGAGCGCAGAGAAAUUUCAGCAGAGGCGGACCGAGAACCUCAGCAGCUGCAGAACUACUGGUCAGAAGUGCGCUACACGGUGCGCUGCAUCUACCGCCAGGCAGGGACCCCGCUGGCAGACGACCAGGACCAGUCUCUGGUGCCUGACAAGGAGGGAGUGAAGGAGCUUGUGGAUAGGCUCUGCGAGAGGGACCCCUACCAGCUGUACCAGCGUCUGGAACAGCAAGCCCGAGAGUACGUGCUGGAGAUGAAGGUCCGCCUUCUCAGGCAGCUGUCGGCUGCCGCCAAGGUGAAGGCACCGUCUGGCCUGCAGGGCCCACCGCAAGCGCACCAGUUCAUCUCCCUCCUGCUUGAGGAGUACGGCGCCCUCUGCCAGGCCGCACGCUCCAUCAGCACCUUUCUUGGCACUCUGGAAAAUGAACACUUGAAAAAGUUCCAAGUGACGUGGGAACUGCAUAAUAAACACCUGUUUGAAAAUCUGGUCUUUUCGGAGCCACUUCUUCAGAGCAACUUGCCUGCACUGGUGUCACAGAUCAGGCUAGGAACCACCACACACGACACCUGCAGUGAGGACACAUACAGCACCUUGCUGCAGAGGUACCAGCGCUCCGAGGAGGAGCUGCACAGAGUCGCUGAGGAGUGGCUGGAGUGCCAGAAGAGGAUCGAUGCCUAUGUGGACGAGCAGGACCUUCAGACCAGUGUGAAUAAGAGCAUUGAUACUGGCACCCUUGUCCAGUCCUGGCUUCGAGGGGCUGCUAUGACAAUGAAAACCAAACAGCGCGUGUUAACAGAAGACUGGGAGCUUUUUAAACAAAGACGAUUCAUUGAAGAACAGUUAACCAGUAAGAAAGUUACUGGAGAGAACAACUUCACGGACACCAUGAGGCACAUGUUGUCUUCCCGUCUAAGCAUGCCUGACUGCCCCAACUGCAACUACAGGAGAAGAUGUGCUUGUGAUGACUGCAGCCUCUCACACAUCCUCACUUGUGGUAUCAUGGACCCCCCCGUCACUGACGACAUCCACAUUCACCAGCUCCCACUGCAAGUGGGUCCUGCUCCUGACUACCUUGCUGAGAGGAGCCCACCCAGCGUGUCGUCUGCAAGCUCAGGGUCGGGCUCCAGCUCUCCCAUCACGAUUCAGCAGCAUCCCAGGCUCAUCCUCACAGACAGUGGCUCGGCACCAACUUUUUGUAGUGAUGAUGAAGAUGUUGCACCAUUGUCAGCCAAAUUUGCUGAUAUUUAUCCGUUGAGUAACUAUGAUGAUACCGAGGUCGUGGCCAACAUGAAUGGGAUCCACAGUGAAUUGAAUGGUGGCGGGGAGAACAUGGCCCUGAAGGAUGAGUCUCCUCAGAUAAGCAGUACCAGUAGUAGUUCCUCAGAAGCUGACGAUGAAGAAGCGGACGGCGAGAGUAGUGGGGAGCCCCCAGGGGCCCCAAAGGAAGAUGUAGUGCUGGGAAGCAGGAACCCCAGGACAGAGGAGAGCAAAGUGGACAGUCCACCUCCGUCCUACCCAACACAGCAGGCUGAACAAGCUCCAAACACUUGUGAAUGUCAUGUUUGUAAACAAGAAGCUUCUGGACUGACACCAUCUGCAAUGACAGCCGGAGCCCUUCCUCCAGGCCAUCAGUUCAUGAGCCCAGAGAAGCCCACACACCCCGCACUGCACCUUUACCCCCACAUCCAUGGACAUGUGCCUUUGCACACGGUUCCACACCUGCCACGCCCUCUCAUCCACCCCACUUUGUAUGCAACGCCCCCCUUCACACACAGUAAGGCUUUACCGCCAGCACCUGUUCAGAAUCACACAAAUAAGCAUCAGGUAUUCAAUGCAUCUCUUCAAGACCAUAUUUAUCCGAGCUGUUUUGGGAAUACUCCAGAGUGGAAUAGUUCUAAAUUUAUAAGUCUUUGGGGAUCAGAAGUGAUGAAUGAUAAGAACUGGAAUUCUGGCACUUUCUUGCCAGAUACAAUUUCUGGGAGUGAAAUAUUAGGGCCAACACUCUCAGACACAAGACCUGAAGCCCUUCCACCUCCAUCUAGCGGUGAAACACCUGCAGUUUCGGAUAGUAAAGAGAAAAAGAAUGCCGCAAAAAAGAAAUGUUUAUACAAUUUCCAAGAUGCUUUUAUGGAAGCAAACAAAGUUGUCAUGGCCACCUCAUCAGCCACGUCCUCCGUGUCCUGCACAGCUACCACAGUGCAGUCCAGCAACAGCCAGUUCAGAGUGUCAUCCAAGAGACCUCCUUCAGUAGGUGACGUGUUUCAUGGCAUCAACAAGGAGGACCACAGACACUCGGCCCCAGCUGCCCCAAGGAACAGCCCCACAGGCUUGGCCCCCCUCCCAGCACUCUCGCCUGCCACGCUCUCACCUGCCUCUACACCUCACCUUGCAAAUCUUGCUGCCCCAUCAUUUCCCAAAACAGCAACCACAACUCCUGGGUUUGUGGACACGCGCAAGAGUUUCUGUCCUGCACCCCUGCCCCCCACCACAGACGGCUCUAUUAGCGCCCCUCCAAGUGUCUGCAGCGAUCCUGACUGCGAAGGGCACCGCUGCGAGAAUGGUGUCUACGACCCGCAGCAGGACGAUGGGGACGAGAGUGCGGAUGAGGACAGCUGCUCUGAGCACAGCUCCAGCACCUCCACCUCCACCAACCAGAAGGAGGGCAAGUACUGCGACUGCUGCUACUGCGAAUUCUUUGGGCACGGCGGGCCUCCAGCUGCACCAACAAGUAGAAAUUAUGCAGAAAUGAGGGAAAAGCUUCGCUUACGGCUGACCAAGAGGAAGGAAGAGCAGCCUAAGAAACUGGAUCAGAUCUCGGAAAGGGAAAGCGUCGUUGACCAUCGCAGGGUGGAGGAUUUGUUGCAGUUCAUAAACAGCUCCGAGACCAAACCAGUGAGCAGCACGCGUGCGGCCAAGCGGGCAAGGCAUAAGCAGAGGAAGCUGGAGGAGAAAGCUCGUCUGGAAGCAGAGGCCAGGGCCCGGGAGCACCUGCACCUCCAGGAGGAGCAGAGGCGGCGGGAGGAGGAGGAGGAGGAGGAAGAGGAGGAACGUUUCAAGGAGGAAUUUCAGCGGCUUCAGGAGCUUCAGAAGCUAAGAGCUGUAAAAAAGAAGAAGAAGGAGAGGCCAAGUAAAGACUGCCCCAAGUUGGACAUGCUCGCUAGAAAUUUCCAGGCAGCGGCAGAGUCUGUCGCUAACUCUGAAAACAUCCACAAUGGCUCGCUAGAGCAAAGUGAAGAACCAGAAACCUCUUCUCACUCCCCAUCCAGGCACAUGAACCACUCAGAGCCCAGGCCAGGGCUGGGGGCUGACGGGGAUUCUGCAGACCCUGUUGACACCAGAGACUCCAAAUUUCUCCUCCCCAAGGAGGUGAAUGGGAAGCAGCAUGAGCCACUCUCUUUUCUCUUCGACAUCAUGCAGCACCAUAAGGAGGGAAAUAGUAAGCAGAAACUGAGGCAGACCAGCAAGGCCAGCAGCGAGCCAGCGAGGAGGCCCCCAGAGCCCCCCAAGGCCACAGAGGGGCAGCCCAAGCCCCGGGCCCAGAUUGAGUCAAAGGCUAAGGUGAUCGACCUCAUAUCCAUCACAGAGCAGAAAAGAGAGGAGAGAAAAGUCAACAGUAAUAACAAUAACAAAAAGCAGCUGAACCACAUCAAGGAAGAGAAGUCAAACCCAACCCCUCUGGAGCCCACCUCUCCCAGUGAGCAUCAGCAGAACAACAAGCUGGUGCUGGCAGAUUCCCCUCAGCCAAAGGGCAAGAACAAGAAAAAUAAGAAGAAGAAAGGAGACAGAGUCAACAAUUCAAUUGAUGAUGUCUUUCUACCUAAAGAUAUUGACCUAGACAGUGUGGAUAUGGAUGAGACAGAGAGGGAAGUGGAAUAUUUCAAAAGGUUCUGCUUGGAUUCUGCCAGACAGACCCGACAAAGACUGUCUAUCAACUGGUCCAAUUUCAGCUUGAAAAAGGCCACCUUUGCUGCCCACUGAACGAGGACUGCCUGGAGAGGGACACGCAGAUCUCUUAGAGAAAGCUCCCAUGGAGCUGCAUCCUGGUUACUGCUCACCACCUAGAACACUCAAUAGCUCCCACUUCUCCCAGCCUCAUGUUCAGCCUGCCUCUGUGUGCCCCGUCGGAAUAUGACUUCACCCUGAGUGAAGGUGAAGAGGGGAGGGCCAGCUUCUGGAGGUAUUCGGACAAUGGGGCCACAGGAUUUCCUGGUGGACAGGACACAGGUGUGAAGAAGAGAAACCCGUUUGUUCAUGGGAUGUCAGGGCAGAGGACAAAGCAGGCUGGGCCACGACCACGGCAACAGUAGUGUCCUCGAAGGGCAGAAACCCAGUGCAGGCCCCAGGACUCCGGCCUCCCCCUCUGGCUGCAGUGGGGGCUGAGGAAAGGCCCAGGACCGGACCUCGCCCUGAGGGGAAGCUGCCUGCCCAGGUCCCAGGAGCCUGGCCCACUCUUCCCAUGGAGAGCCUUGACACUGCUAGGCCCAGUCCCAUGUCUGGGUCUCAGCCUCCUCUCCCAGUAGAAUCAUACUUGCUGCUGAGGGGAACUGGGUGCUGCAGCACACUAAGCACUAUGCUGGGACCCAGAGACCCUCAGACGCCACCCCCCACGCCAGGUUCUGAGCACUCCCACCUCCAUGGGGGCCCCGCCUAUGGCGACUUCACUGCCCUGCCCCAUGACCGGCACCUACUCGAAUUGGCCCUCAGGCUCCCAGCCUUUCUCCUGGCCAUGCUCUUGCCAAGGAGCUUCCCCUAUUUCCCUCGAAACCACUCUUCCAACAUCCCAGGGUGCUUAUAGGACAUCCAGCUCCAGAGUCCCUGACUUGAUGGGAGCUCCUUGGGUUCCUGAUGACAUGGGGGAGGGUGGGACGGCCCUAUGGGAGCCUCACACGUUUGACUCAACUAAUAGCACAGGGUGAGAAUCCCUCAUCCCUUAUCUGGCAUGCUUGGUACCAGAAGUGUGUCAGGUUUCAGACUUGUUGGGAUUUGGGAUAUUUUCAUCAUGCUUACUGAUUGAGUAUUUCUAAUCCAAAAAUCUGAAAUCCAAAAUGCCCCAACCAGCAUUUCCCUGGAGCAUCAUCUUAAUGCUCAAAAACAUUUGGAUUCUGGAACAUUUUGAGUUAGACAUACCCAACCUAUAAUAAUAGUCAUGCACAGAAAUAGAAUACCAAUAGCUAGAAAGGAAGCCCUAACAAUGAACAGCUGUAUUGAGAUGCUUACUGUUCUCUGCACCCUCAGCUCUGAGUCCUGUAGUAGAUAAACAGGCGGUAAAACAGAUCGCUCCUCAUCUCUUCCCAAAGGAACGGACUUCAUCUGCAACAAAGAGGUUCAAGCCUGAAGGCACGCUCAGAAACAGUGGAGGCUGUGAAACCCUGGGGACAGAGAUAAGAUCCAGGCUCAGCUAAGAGCUGGGAGGAGACAUCCUGGGCUCAGAACAGAUACCGCAGUGUUCGCAGAAACCGGCCCUUCAAAGGAGUCAGAAUUUGAUCGGAUUUGGUGGUAGAGCCAUCUGUACCCCAGGUCACUGUUGAAAACAGUAGAGUUGGCAGUUAGUGGUUUAAGGGCUGAAAGUGAUCAGGGAAAGAGGAAGAGAACUAUGCCAAGAUGACUGUCAUCCCAGGGCGAGUGUGGGCGAGUGUGUACGCAAAGCUACACACCCCGAGGAGCAACGUCAUAGGCUGAAUACUAGUGGGGAGAGGGUGUUAAAGAGAUUUCACGAGAUAAUCCAAAGACCCAGUGGGAAGGAGUAUGAAGGAAUAGUUCCCAGAAUCACCGCUAUACAUUAUCCAAGACGGCAAGUGUUCAAUACAGUGAGCUCCAGCUUUCUCUUCAGAGCAUCAGUAUGUUCAGCGUUCUCAUGAUCUGUUCUCCAUUUGCAAGUUGAGCUUCCUGCUUCUCUUCACCCCCUUGCCUCUAGUUUCAGUAAACAGCUUUCCCGCCAGUUCUAAUCAGUGGUUCACAUAUGUUCCCCUGGGCGCCUGCUUUGACCUAGGUCACCUUUAGUCACCUGCUCUGUCCUGACUCAUCCUGGUCACCCGCUGUGACCUGAGUCACCCUUAGUUACCUGUUCCAUAACCAUCCUUCCCACGAAACUGCUCACCUGCCACUGUGGCUCAUACCCCUGCUCCCUUUAAAAUAGCCAAUUGGAAUUAGCUUAGACUACAGUCCAACCCUAGCCAACAGAGGAACGACACGGCAGUGGGAGCUACCUGCGUCGAGGAUAAGAACCCCUCCCCUCCCUGUUCAGGAGUGCUCUCACCAUUGCUCCAUCCAUGGGAUGCACCCUUCUGUAGAAGUAAAUUGCCUUGCUGAGAAAAUUCUUUAUUUAUUUUUAUUUUUAUUUUUUUAGAGACAGGGUUUCACCAUGUUGGUCAGGCUGGUCUCGAACUCCCGACCUCAGGUGGUGAUCUGGCCACGUCAGCCUCUCAAAGUGCUGGGAUUACAGGUGCGAGUCACCACGCCCUGCCUUGCUGUUAAAAUUAUUUGAGUGCUGGUUCUUCUUUUUGGCACUGAGGAACAAGCAUUUGUUUCUAACAUCAAGUUUCUUUUUUGUUUUUUGAGACGGAGUUUCGCUCUUGUUACCCAGGCUGGAGUGCGAUGGCGCAACCUCGGCUCACCGCAACCCCCGCCUCCUGGGUUCAGGCAAUUCUCCUGCCUCAGCCUCCUGAGUAGCUGGGAUUACAGGCACGUGCCACCGUGCCAAGCUAAUUUUUUUGUAUUUUUAGUAGAGACGGGGUUUCACCAUGUUGACCAGGAUGGUCUCGAUCUCUUGACCUCGUGAUCCACCCGCCUCGGCCUCCCAAAGUGCUGGGAUUACAGGCUUGAGCCACCGCGCCUGGACAAGUUUCUAACAAAAAGGUAUGAAGUGUGCAAAAAAACUGGAAUGUACGACCCACGUAUAGUUGGGAGAAAAAAACAAAAACAAAAACUAGAAACUAGCAGCAGACACUUCCCGUGAAAAGCAGCGAAGUUGGAUUUAUCAGAAAAAGACUUUAAAACAGCCAUUAUAGACAUGUUUACAGAACUAAAGGAACCCAUUACUAAAGAAGUAAACAGGCACGGUGGCACAUGCCUGUAAUCCCAGCACUUUGGGAGGCCAAGGUGGGAGGAUUGCUUGAGGCCAGGAGUUUGAGACCAGGCUGGGCAACAUGGCAAGACCCUGUCUCUACAAAAAUCUUAAAAUUAAAAUUAGAAAAUUAACCAGGCCUGGCAUGGUGGCACCCAGCACUUUGGGAGACUGAGUGGAUCACUGGAGGUCAGGAGUUUGUGACCAGCCUGGCCAACAUGGCGAAACCCGUCUCUACUACAAAUCCAAAAAUGAGCUGGGUGUGGUGGUGCAUGCUUGUAGUCCCAGCUACUCAGGAGGCUGAGGCAGGAGAAUCGCUUGAACCCAGGAGGCAGAGGAUGUAGUGAGCUGAGGUCGUGCGACUGCACUCCAGCCUGGGUGACGGAGUGAGACUCUAUCUCAAAAAAAAAGAAAAGAAAUGAUAUAGUAAGGCUGCAUCAAAUGAAGAUAGAGAUUAUUUUAAAUGAACCAGUGGGAAUUAUGAAAUCUGAAAGGUUUAAUUAAAAAAUUUUUUUUGAGUUAAAGUCUCACUCUGUCACCCAGGCUGGAGUGCAGUGGCACCAUCUCUAACUCCUGACCUCAGGUGAUCCACCCACCUCAGCCUUCUAAAGUGCUGAGACUACAGGUGUGAGCCACUGCACCCAGCCUAAAUUUUAAAAUUAGCAGAAGAAAGAGUAAGUGGAUUUGAAAAUAGCCUGAUAGAGAUUAUGCCAGCCAAAGAACACAGAGAAAAUAAUAAAAAUAAAGAGUCUCAGAAAACUGUGGGACACCAUUAAGCAUACCAGCAUAUGUGUAAUGGGAAUAUCAGAAGGAGAGCAACGAGUAGAAAACAUGUUCAAAGAAAUAAUGGCUGAAAACCUCCCAAACUGAAAAAUAGGAAGUUACACAUCCCAGAAGUUGAAAAUGUUAUAUUAAGAAAGAAGAAAGAUCUCAAAUCAGUAAACUAACUUGUCACCUUAACACACUGGAAAAAGAGCAAACUAGGCCUAAAGUCAGCAGAAGGAAGGAAAUUACAAAAGUUAGAUCAGAAAUUAAGAAAACAGAGGAUGCAAAGAUAAUGGAGAAAAUCAACAAAACCAAAAGCUUUGAAAAGAUAAACAAAAUUGACAUCUUUAGCAAGACUGACAAAGACAGAAGGAUUCAGAUUGCUAGAAUCAGAACUGGUCACACAGAAAUAAAAAGGAUUUUAAAGGAAUACUAGGACAAUUAUAUGCCAGCAAAUUUGGUACCUUAGACGAUGUCUUAGUCCAUUUAUGCAGCUACGACCAAAUAUCACAGACUGGGUAAUUCAUAAAUAAUAGAAAUGUAUUUAUUCCGGUUCUGAAGGCUGUGAAGUUCAAGAGCACAGUGCACCAACAGGGCUCACUCUCCACUUCCUACGUGGUACCUUGUUGCUGUGUCUUCAUAUGGUAGAAGGGCAGAAGAGGAGCAAGGGUGAUCCCUUCAGCCUCUGUUUUCAAAGCUGUAACCCCAUUCCUGACGAUGGAGCACUCAUUACUUGAACACUCCUGGAAGGCCCUACCUCUUAAUGCUAUCACCUUGGGUACUGGGUUCUAACAUAUGAACAUAUAAACCAUAGCAGAUGAAACGGACACAUUUUAGACAGGAACAAACUGUAAGAGCUGACUCCAGAAGAAACAGACAAUCUGAACAGACCUAUAAUGAGUGAAGAUGUUGAAAUGGUAAUUUAAAACGGGAAAAGUACCCACAAAAGCUCAAGCCUACACGUUUUCACUGCUGGAUUUUACCACACAGUUAGAGAAAAAUUGAAACCAAUUUUUCAAACUCUCUCAGAAAUAGAAGAGGAAACACUUCUCAACUAACUCUCUGAAGCCAGUAAUACCUUAAUGCCAAAACCAGACAAAGACAUCACGAGAAAACUACAGACAAACAUCUCAGAGUCCUCAGAGGCAACGCCACACAUCUACAACCUUCUGAUCUUUGACAAACCUGACCAAAACAAGCAAUGGGGAAAGGAUUCCCUGUUUAAUAAAUGGUGUUGGGAAAAUUGGCUAGCCAUGUGCAGAAAGCAGAAAGUGGACCCCUUCCUGACACUUUACACUAAAAUUAACUCCAGGUGAUUUAAUUCAAGACUUAAACAUAAGACCUAACACCAUAAAAACCCUAGAAGAAAAUCUAGGCAAAACCAUUCAGGACAUAGGAAUAGGCAAGAACUUCAUGAUCAAAACACCAAAAGCAUUGGCAACAAAAGCCAAAAUAGACAAAUGGGACCUAAUCAAACUCCACAGCUUCUGCACGGCAAAAGAAACAGUCACUAGAGUGAAUCGGCAACCAGCAGAAUGGGAAAAAAUGUUUGCAGUUUACCCAUCUGACAAAGGGCUGAUAUCCAGAAUCUACAAAGAACUAAAACAGAUUUACAAGAAAAAAAAGACUCAUUCAAAAGUGGGUGAAGGUUAUGAACAGAUACUUUUCAAAAGAAGACAUAUACGAGGCCAACAAACAUGAAAAAAUGCUCAUCGUCACUGGUCAUCAGAGAGAUGCAAAUCAAAACUACAUUGAGAUACCAUCUCACGCCAGUUAGAAUGGCGGUCAUUAAAAAAUCUGGAGACAAUAGAUGCUGGAGAGGAUGUGGAGAAA